AAGAACACUUUCUUGACUCUAUGUUUGAAAAGUACUUGGAAGAAGAAACGAUAUGGAUUGCAAAUCUGAGGUGGAUAUAUAUUUGGAGGAAUCCUGUGAGAAGUGUGUCCCAAGUUUUGAAAUAUUGAGUUGGUGGAAAUUGAAUUGCUCCAGGUAUAGAGUGUUAGCUCAAGUUGCUAAAGAUUUUUUUGGCUAUUCCUGUGUCUACAGUUUCCUCUGAAUCCGCUUUUAGCACUAGAGGUCGUGUUCUUGAUCAAUUCCGUAGUUCUCUAAAGCCCAAACUUGUGGAGUGCUUGAUAUGUGCACAAGAUUGGUUACGGGCUUCACCACUUCCAAUCGAAGUUGAAGAAACUAUGCAAGAAAUUGAAGAAUACGAAUCAGUCAUAACUGAGGCUUGAGGAAUUUUUGAGUUCGAGUUUGGAUCUUAAACUUUCAAGGCUCCAAUUUUUAAAGUUCCUGUUGUGAUGUGUGGGGAGAUUGGUUGCUUUCCCGGGCUUUACUGUUCAAGGACACGGGAAAGAAGUGGCGGAUGACGUUCCACCACAGGCCUAGUUUGGAUAGAAGAUUAUUUUGCUAUUUUUGUAUCUAUGUCCCAUUAUUUUUGUAAAACCUUAGUUUGUUAUAUUCAGUAUAGAGACUUAUGAACUCUUGUUAUUGUAAUUUUGCUUCAUGGACUGUAAGUUGAUGUAAUUGGAGUAAAAUUCUAGUAUGUGAGCAUGGGAUUAUGUAUAAGACAGGUAUUUCUAUGUUCUGGAUGAAUGGGAUGAUGAUGAUGAACUCUUUUAAGGAUGGUGUUGAUGUUGUAGAUUU